UACGAAGGGUGCAAGCGUUACUCGGAAUUACUGGGCGUAAAGCGUGCGUAGGCGGUUUGUUAAGUCCGCUGUGAAAGCCCUGGGCUCAACCUGGGAAUUGCAGUGGAUACUGGCAAGCUAGAGUGCGGUAGAGGAUGGUGGAAUUCCCGGUGUAGCGGUGAAAUGCGCAGAGAUCGGGAGGAACACCCGUGGCGAAGGCGACUUACUGGACACAUAUUGACGCUGAGGUGCGAAAGCGUGGGGAGCAAACAGG
rnacentral:rRNA from 1 species